GUGAAGAGACAAUAUGCAUUUUUAAGAAGACCCAGCGGGAAGCAGGCAUUUCUAUUCCAAAGACAUAGCACUGAUAAAAAGAGUUGGAGAGCAGGUUUUGGGGCCCCUAAAUGAGUUUAAGAAGUCAGAGGUAAGUCACCAAGACCUGCACAGAAUACCCAGGAGCUGGCAAUAUCUGUGGAAAAGUUGA
rnacentral:lncRNA from 14 species